UGUGAAAUGGGAAAAAAACACGUUAUUGAUCAGCAAAGUCAAGAUCUGUAGUUCAAAGAACAUCUGAUCCUCAGAGAAGAUUGCAUAUGUUGAGAAACAACUAAGAAGAUCAGCUCAAGAUGAUGGAUUUUCAUCAAGAAUUUGAAGUGUCUUGGAUAUUUCCAUACUGUAUUGCAACA